AGAGUUUGAUUCUGGCUCAGGACGAACGCUGGCGGCGUGCCUAACACAUGCAAGUCGAACGAGGUCUGGACCUUCGGGCUCAGAUCGAGUGGCGAACGGGUGAGUAACACGUGAGGAACCUGCCCCGGAGACCGGGACAACCAGAGGAAACUUUGGCUAAUACCGGAUGUCCUCGGAUGGUCGCAUGGCCGACCGAGAAAAGGCUCCGGCGCUCUGGGAGGGCCUCGCGGCCUAUCAGCUUGUUGGUGGGGUAACGGCCCACCAAGGCAUUGACGGGUAGCUGGUCUGAGAGGACGAUCAGCCACACUGGGACUGAGACACGGCCCAGACUCCUACGGGAGGCAGCAGUGGGGAAUAUUGCGCAAUGGGCCGAAGCCUGACGCAGCAACGCCGCGUGGGGGAUGACGGCUUUAGGGUUGUAAACCCCUUUCAGCAGGGACGAAAAUGACGGUACCUGCAGAAGAAGCCCCGGCCAACUACGUGCCAGCAGCCGCGGUAACACGUAGGGGGCGAGCGUUGUCCGGAUUUAUUGGGCGUAAAGAGCUCGUAGGCGGUUGCGUAAGUCGGAUGUUAAAACUCAGGGCUCAACCCUGAGACGCCAUCUGAUACUGCGCUGACUAGAGUCCGGUAGAGGAGCAUGGAAUUCCUGGUGUAGCGGUGAAAUGCGCAGAUAUCAGGAGGAACACCAGUGGCGAAGGCGGUGCUCUGGGCCGGUACUGACGCUGAGGAGCGAAAGCGUGGGUAGCAAACAGGAUUAGAUACCCUGGUAGUCCACGCCGUAAACGUUGGGCACUAGGUGUGGGACCUUCUCAACGGGUUCCGUGCCGUAGCUAACGCAUUAAGUGCCCCG
rnacentral:rRNA from 1 species